GGGGACGCAGUGACAGGUGCUGCAUGGCUGUCGUCAGCUCGUGUCGUGAGAUGUUCGGUUAAGUCCGGCAACGAGCGCAACCCACACCCCUAGUUGCCAGCAGUUCGGCUGGGCACUCUAUGGGAACUGCCCGUGAUAAGCGGGAGGAAGGUGUGGAUGACGUCAAGUCUUCAUGGCCCUUACGGGUUGGGCUACACACGUGCUACAAUGGCAAGUACAGUGGGUUAAUCCCCAAAACUUGUCUCAGUUCGGAUUGGGGUCUGCAACUCGACCCCAUGAAGUCGGAAUCGCUAGUAAUCGCGGAACAGCAUGCCGCGGUGAAUACGUUCCCGGGCCUUGUACACACCGCCCGU
rnacentral:rRNA from 1 species